rnacentral:rRNA from 1 species
UACGUAGGGAGCAAGCGUUGUCCGGAAUCAUUGGGCGUAAAGCGCGUGUAGGCGGUUCGGUAAGUCUGCUGUGAAAGUCCAGGGCUCAACCCUGGGAUGCCGGUGGAUACUGUCGGGCUAGAGUGCGGAAGAGGCGAGUGGAAUUCCCGGUGUAGCGGUGAAAUGCGCUGAUAUCGGGAGGAACACCAAUUGCGAAGGCAGCUCGCUGGGACGUUACUGACGCUGAGACGCGAAAGCGUGGGGAGCAAACAGG